AGUGAACGCUGGCGGUAGGCCUAACACAUGCAAGUCGAACGGCAGCACAGAGGAGCUUGCUCCUUGGGUGGCGAGUGGCGGACGGGUGAGGAAUACAUCGGAAUCUACUCUGCCGUGGGGGAUAACGUAGGGAAACUUACGCUAAUACCGCAUACGACCUACGGGUGAAAGCAGGGGAUCUUCGGACCUUGCGCGAUUGAAUGAGCCGAUGUCGGAUUAGCUAGUUGGCGGGGUAAAGGCCCACCAAGGCGACGAUCCGUAGCUGGUCUGAGAGGAUGAUCAGCCACACUGGAACUGAGACACGGUCCAGACUCCUACGGGAGGCAGCAGUGGGGAAUAUUGGACAAUGGGCGCAAGCCUGAUCCAGCCAUACCGCGUGGGUGAAGAAGGCCUUCGGGUUGUAAAGCCCUUUUGUUGGGAAAGAAAUCCAGCUGGCUAAUACCCGGUUGGGAUGACGGUACCCAAAGAAUAAGCACCGGCUAACUUCGUGCCAGCCGCCGCGGUAA
rnacentral:rRNA from 1 species